GCCGGGUGUGGUGGCGCACGCCUGUAAUCCCAGCUACUCGGGAGGCUGAGGCAGGAGAAUCGCUUAAGCCCGGGAGGCAGAGGUUGCAGUGAGCUGAGAUCACACCACUGCACUCCAGCCUGGGCAAUAAGAGCGAAAUUCUGUCUCA
rnacentral:SRP_RNA from 2 species